UUUCUAUUGAAAUUCAAGCAGUUCAAGUCAAAUGAACAGCUUGAAAGGGUACAAAGGUAAGUGGUGAACUGCCAGAGGUAAAUAAAAAAAGGUAAGCUUAACCAAAACUGGAAAAUAAUGUACAUUUCAGAAUUAUACAAGAAACAAGAAAUGGGUUAACAACUUAACUCUAUGGAGUCUUGGGCUAUUUUGUCCAUUUUUGAAUUCUUUUCAUGUCUUUGUAAGUCAUUUUGUGUCUUUUUUUGGUCAUUUUGUGUCUUUUUUAGUCAUUUUGUGUCUUUUUUUUGUCAUUUUGUGUCUUUUUUGUCAUUUUGUGUCUUAUUUUAGUCCUUUAGUCCAACAUAAAAUGUGAUUUUGAAUCUUUUUUUUACUUUCAAAACA